rnacentral:rRNA from 1 species
GUGAGGAAUUAUGCGCAAUGGGGGAAACCCUGACGCUGCGACGCCGCGUGGGUGAUGAAGGCCUUCGGGUCGUAAAACCCUAUCGAGAGGGAAGAAACGCGCGGGUGUUAACAGCACCCGCACCUGACGGUACCUCUGGAUGAAGCCCCGGCUAACUCCGUGCCAGCAGCCGCGGUAAUACGGAGGGGGCAAGCGUUGUUCGGAAUUACUGGGCGUAAAGCGCGCGCAGGCGGUCAGGUCAGUCGGAUGUGAAAGCCCUCAGCUCAACUGAGGAACUGCGUCCGAUACUGCUUGGCUUGAGUCCGGUAGGGGAUGGCGGAAUUCCCGGUGUAGCGGUGGAAUGCGUAGAUAUCGGGAGGAACACCGAUGGCGAAGGCGGCCAUCUGGGCCGGAACUGACGCUGAGGCGCGAGAGCUAGGGGAGCAAACAGGAUUAGAAACCCUUGUAGUCC